rnacentral:rRNA from 1 species
UACGGAGGGUGCGAGCGUUGUCCGGAAUCACUGGGCGUAAAGGGCGCGUAGGCGGCCUGAUAAGUAGGGGGUGAAAUCCUGCGGCUUAACCGCAGGGCUGCCUUCUAAACUGUCAGGCUAGAGCACGGUAGAGGCAGAUGGAAUUCCAGGUGUAGCGGUGAAAUGCGUAGAUAUCUGGAGGAACACCGGUGGCGAAGGCGGCAUCCUGGACCGGCAUUGACGCUGAGGCGCGAAAGCCAGGGGAGCAAACGGG